GUUUAAAACUGAAAUUUACAGAGAUGGCUGUCCAGUCAGAAGGUUCCAGCGGUACUGAAGGGAAGCCAAAGGCUCAGUAUAGACUCAUGCUCUAAGGAGACUACAUCAAAGCUAUCGUUGGGGCCCCUCUUGUUGACAGAGUUAUCAGGAGCCGGCCUUUGAGCAAAUAUGGCUGAAUUGUUGAACUUGAAGUGAACUGGAAAACCUUUUUUUAUCUUUGGGACACGGUACCUCAGCAACAUUGAUGGCCUCCAGAACAGGGGGAACCUGCCCAUCUGCAAAUGUUACCAGGAUUCUGAUGUUCUCUGCAAUAUCUUUGCCAAAAAUGGAAAGAACUGAAUCAAAGACAUAUUUCUGCAUAUGGGUCAGAUGAACCAUAGAGCCUUGAGCAACAAAACACACAGCAUUGAUCUGAUCAACACCAUCUGGGGAAGUGAAGAACUCUCGGAUCUGAUCAGUGAGCAAUUUAUCUCGGGUUAUACCCCUGGUGUCUCCAAACCCUGGAGUGUCAAUGAUAGUGAAAGAGUAAUCAAUCUGGAAUCCUGCUGCAGUUCAUAGUCAGACAUCAAUCACUGCCAUUCAGCCUGGGAUCUUCCUGUCCCUUCAUUGAUUAAUUUGUAUCUGAAAUUGUCCUCCCAUUCCACACCCAGGAUGUAGUUGAUCAUUCCAUUGAUGAGGGUUGUUUUUCCUGCUCCUGUUGCUUCAAGAACCAUGAUUGUCCUUACACUGUGUUUUCCAGAGGGUUUUCCAAAGGAUAAUUUUACAUUGUGUCCAGCCUUAAUAUUCACCAGUGACCCUUCCUCUUCCUCACCUCGAUGAAUAGAUGGUAAUACUCUGGAUAAAGCCUUCUGGAAAACCAGCCUGAACUUCAGACACAUUUCUUGGAAUUUCAGUAUCCUGUUCCUGAUCUCUGGAAAAUGAACAGUGAGACCGUCUCUCAUUAUAUCAUUACAUCUCAUCACCGUCUCAUUGCCAGUCUGUGCUGGAGCAGCUCAAUGACUGACCAAUCCAAUACUUAUGUCCUGUACCAGCUGAGCAGCUUUAGAGUCCAGUUUGUUGAGUGAGUAGAGCCAGACUCUCAUGAGCACUGCAUGCUCUCCAUCCACUCCCAGUAACUUUGGGGGGGUUGUGUAGAUUUUGAUAGCAUCUUGGAAUGUGGUGGGAUUGUUUUCCAGAAAAACAUCCCCAUAGAAGGUAUAGCUGAAUAUCUGGACAUUGGAUUGCUGUUCCUCUGUUAUUUUUAGUGAAAUCUGCCCCCCAACUGCAAUCUCAGGAAUCUUUUAACCAUCCCCUCCAGGUGACCCUAAAUAUCCUGUAGAUUCUCCCCUGAAGAGACCUCUUGAUCAAACACAAAGAAAACCUGAGCCCCAUACAGCACUGCUAUAACUCACCACGGGAGCUGCUGUCCCCUCAUCAGACACAUUUGGGUGGGUUAUAUUCUGUCACCCCAAACGGCUCAUUGUCAGUUGCUCAAACUUGGUAGUUGUAUGGUACUGAAGGAUCACUCGGGCCUGUUGCCUCGAUCUCUUUGUGUCAUUGAGAUAUUUCGCUGAUCCUGUCACCUCCACCAAAUCACCCAAGAAACUUUCUUUCAAUGAUCCAUCCACAUUCAGUGUAGAGGCUUUUGUAUCAGUGGAGUCAGAUGUAAUGAUGUGAAAUUUUGCGUCAUGCUAAGAUUGGAUAUGAGGUUUCAAUUUCUCUAUAGCCCACAAAAUGAUCCCUACAGAAAGAACACGUUAA